GCGAAAUAGCCCAGUUGGGAGAGCGUUAAACUAUAGAUCGAAAAGUCCCUGGUUUGAUCCAGGGUUCCAGCA
rnacentral:tRNA from 1 species